rnacentral:rRNA from 1 species
GCCCAGACUCCUACGGGAGGCAGCAGUAAGGGAUAUUGGUCAAUGGGGGAAGCCCUGAACCAGCAACGCCGCGUGAGGGAAGACGGUUUUCGGAUUGUAAACCUCUGUCCUCUGUGAAGAUGAUGACGGUAGCAGAGGAGGAAGCUCCGGCUAACUACGUGCCAGCAGCCGCGGUAAUACGUAGGGAGCGAGCGUUGUCCGGAUUUACUGGGUGUAAAGGGUGCGUAGGCGGCUUGGCAAGUCAGUAGUGAAAUCCAGGGGCUUAACCCAUGAACUGCUAUUGAAACUGUCGAGCUUGAGUGAAGUAGAGGUAGGCGGAAUUCCCGGUGUAGCGGUGAAAUGCGUAGAGAUCGGGAGGAACACCAGUGGCGAAGGCGGCCUGCUGGACUGCAACUGACGUUGAGGCCCGAAAGCGUGGGGAGCAAACAGGAUUAGAUACCCCAGUAC